AUGCGCCGGCGGCCCCCUGUUUUUCAGGUUCUGAAGAAAUGUGGGCAUUUUGAGUGGCUCGAUGACUAUGUUGAAAGGUUGAAAUUGGAGGGAUCAACCGGAACCCAAGAGCUCAAUUUUGGGGGGCGGCUUGCCGUGGAACAAGCCCCCAAUUUGGCGGACAGAGCCGAUCCGAUGAUGCACAGUGCAGAACUGAAGUGUGAAUUGAAGAAAAUUGGCAAGCAACUAAAGCAUCUGAUCGAUUUGAAGAAGCAAGCAAAUAUGAUGGCUGGAGCAUUUUAUGGUUGUGUCAUUGCUAUGGGUUUAUUUUACUUGAUGUUCAUCAAUCGCUAG
rnacentral:rRNA from 1 species